AAGUUCCUGCGGUGUUCGCCCGGAGCCAUAGUCUCUUGGCUCAAAUUACAAUUACGGGAUACGGCAUAGCUGAGUUGCAUUGAUCCAACCUUUCGGGGUUUAAUGGAACAGAAUCUUCAGCACAACUGGCAUCCCCCUUGAACCACAGGUUCAAGAGCAUUCUCCGGUACCGGCACCGCAGGUUUUUC
rnacentral:other from 1 species